UACGGAGGAUGCAAGCGUUAUCCGGAAUGAUUGGGCGUAAAGCGUCCGCAGGCGGCAAUGUAAGUCUGCUGUCAAAGCGUCUGGCUCAACCAGAUAAAGGCAGUGGAAACUACAUAGCUAGAGUAAGGUAGGGGUAGAGGGAAUUCCUGGUGUAGCGGUGAAAUGCGUAGAGAUCAGGAAGAAGACCGGUGGCGAAGGCGCUCUGCUAGGCCGCAACUGACACUGAGGGACGAAAGCUAGGGGAGCGAAUGGG
rnacentral:rRNA from 1 species